rnacentral:rRNA from 1 species
CCUACGGGUGGCAGCAGUGGGGCAUAUUGCACAAUGGGGGGAACCCUGAUGCAGCGACGCCGCGUGGGUGAAGGAGUAUUUCGGUAUGUAAAGCCCUAUCAGCAGGGAAGAACAAUGACGGUACCUGACUAAGAAGCACCGGCUAAAUACGUGCACGCAGCCGCGGUAAUACGUAGGGUGUAAGCGUUAUUCGGAUGUACUGGGUGUACAGGGAGCGCAGGCGGGGCGUUAAGCCUGGUGUGAAAGCCCGCGGCCCAACCGCGGGACUGCAUUGGAAACUGGCGAGCUGGAGUGCCGGAGGGGUAGGCGGAAUUCCUGGUGUAGCAGUGAAAUGCGUAGAGAUUAGGAGGAACAUCAGUGGCGAAGGCGGCCUACUGGACGGUGACUGACGCUGAGGCGCGAAAGCGUGGGGAGCAAACAGGAUUAGAUACCCGAGUAGUC